GAGAUGGUUUAACAGUGAUUUCGGGCUUGACCUCACAGACUUGGCUGGGAGAGCACUGCAUGGUCGGAGGAGACAUUCUUUGGAUGAGAAGUCUGCCUGUUCUGAUGGAUAUGAAAAAUCUCAUAACACUACUAAAGAGGUUGUCUGCUGUGCCAAAGAACUCCCCCAUCGGGUUAUCAGGAGCUAAGUGGGAAGAACCCCAGCUGUUUGACUGGUUUGAUCCUC